rnacentral:lncRNA from 1 species
UAUCCAGCAGCUCCAACUGCUAUCCAGCAGAUCCGGCUGAUAUCCAGCAGAUCCAACCGCAGACCAGCAGAUCCAACCGCAGACCAGCAGAUCCAACCGCAGACCAGCAGAUCCAACCGCAGACCAGCAGGUCCAACCGCGGGCCAGCAGGUCCAACUGCAGGCCAGCAGGUCCAACUGCUAACCAACUGCCCACUGCGCUCGGCAUUAUUGCAUCACGUGACAUCACAGGGUACUGAACGCCCCCAGCCCAAUGGCGGCGGUGUCCUGGCCAGCCCCAGUCCCAGCCUUGCUCUCCACUGCCGCCCUUCACAGCAACGGCUCCACCCUACCCAGCUGUGGUUUGUUUGCCCCUCUUCAGCUGAAUCCAGGACUCCUCCUUCCCCCUCAGCCUGUCUCACAGGCUUUGACCAGCACAGCUCACCUCAGCAGUGCCCCCCGGGUGCGGGCUGAAGGCAGGUUGGGAUGCCAGUAUUAAAAACGUUCUGUUAGCACCCAUCUGCUGCUGUUUUGUCUUCACCAAUGGAACUGUGCCUCUGCUGCUGGGUGUUAGGCGGUAAUUCCUCCUGAUUGCGAGGCCAACAUGUGUGCCUGAGCGAUGUGGGGGGCAAGGAGCGCAGCGCCUCUCGGCCUGAGGAGCUCUCUCCCUCAGCUCUGCUCUGCAGAGCGUUUACUCUGUGCCAGUGGUCAGCAGUGUGGCUGCUCUCAGCUUUUCCCCACAUCUAUAAACGUUCUGAUCGUUUUCUGACACACGAGGACACUCAGAGGAGCAGAG